CUGACUACCCCUCUACUCCAGAGCCCACCUUUUCUGCUCUGGAAGCUUUCAGAAGCUGUCCUCAAUCAGGUCCAGACGAGGAAGGCCACUCUCCGAAUGACUCAGUUGACAGGGCUUGAUGUAGCCCAAGAUGGCUCCGACUUGCUGGAUAGGCCAGGAUAGCCUGAACUCUCUUUCUCCCUGGCUCUAACCUCAGAGCGCUGGUUUGCAGGUGUAAACGGCCGUGUCGUUUUCUUUGACUUUAUACCUUAAACUCAUGACUCAAUGACAAGAAGAGCUUCCGGAGCCUCGGGCAGGCAGCCGCAGCGCCUGGUCCACCCAGUCCUUUUUCUAAGACUCUGAGAAGGUGCAGGGCCAGGAGGGCCUGCGUGUGGAAUGACCUCUGCUGGCACACGUCUUCCAAUACUUGGUUCCCGGCUAUUGGUGCUGAGGUUUGAGAGGCUGGGGAGAUUUGGGUGUGGAGCCUCACUGGUAAACUAGGUCACUAGAGGUGAAUUCUGCUCUGCUUCUCCACUGUGUGGACUGAAAACUCAGGGGCUGUGAGAUGAAAUAAACCCUUCUUCCUGUAAGUGG
ensembl:lincRNA Gm44107 predicted gene, 44107